ACAUCUUCUGCAGCUGUCCUCUGACAGAGAUUUUCACAUUGAUUAUUGAAAAGUAGACUUUUAAAACAUUGAAGACAUCUAUACCAGGCUGGCAUCAUGUCUAAUAAAAAGCGAACAAAUAGUUCAAAGCCAGGAAUAAUGUUCUACUUUCACCACCAACCAAAGAAAGGAAAAACUGACAUUCCACUUCAAACACAGCUCCUCUUAUCUCCAGGCUCCAGAUGUGUAGCAGUAAAAAGCAUUGAUCCUGUGAAGCCAUUUACACCUUGCCACAAGAUCUCCUUGGUAUAUACUGGACAUCUUCUACCCUUGCUGGAUCUGUCACUGCAGCAUCCUAUAUCCAGAAUUCCCCUCUACAACCAGUGGACGCACUUCUAAGUUGACCACCCACAUG